rnacentral:rRNA from 1 species
GACGAACGCUGGCGACGUGCCUAAUACAUGCAAGUUGAGCGCUGAAGGUUGGUACUUGUACCGACUGGAUGAGCAGCGAACGGGUGAGUAACGCGUGGGGAAUCUGCCUUUGAGCGGGGGACAACAUUUGGAAACGAAUGCUAAUACCGCAUAACAACUUUAAACACAAGUUUUAAGUUUGAAAGAUGCAAUUGCAUCACUCAAAGAUGAUCCCGCGUUGUAUUAGCUAGUUGGUGAGGUAAAGGCUCACCAAGGCGAUGAUACAUAGCCGACCUGAGCGGGUGAUCGGCCACAUUGGGACUGAGACACGGCCCAAACCCCUACGGGGGGCAGCAGUAGGGAAUCUUCGGCAAUGGACGUAAGUCUGACCGAGCAACGCCGCGUGAGCGAAGAAGGUUUUCGGAUCGUAAAACUCUGUUGGUUGAGAAGAACGUUGGUGAGAGUGGAAAGCUCAUCAAGUGACGGUAACUACCCAGAAAGGGACGGCUAACUACGUGCCAGCCGCCGCAGUAA